UUGAUAGAAGCCAAAUAAGAGGCUAAUCACUGUUAAUGAUUUUAUUGAAGUUUACCUUCCUAUCAAG
rnacentral:tRNA from 1 species